rnacentral:rRNA from 1 species
GAUGAACGCUGGCGGCGUGCCUAAUACAUGCAAGUCGAGCGAACAGACGAGGAGCUUGCUCCUCUGACGUUAGCGGCGGACGGGUGAGUAACACGUGGAUAACCUACCUAUAAGACUGGGAUAACUUCGGGAAACCGGAGCUAAUACCGGAUAAUAUAUUGAACCGCAUGGUUCAAUAGUGAAAGUCGGUUUUGCUGUCACUUAUAGAUGGAUCCGCGCCGCAUUAGCUAGUUGGUAAGGUAACGGCUUACCAAGGCAACGAUGCGUAGCCGACCUGAGAGGGUGAUCGGCGACACUGGAACUGAGACACGGUCCAGACUCCUGCGGGAGGCAGCAGUAGGGAAUCUUCCGCAAUGGGCGAGAGCCUGACGGAGCAACGCCGCGUGAAUGAUGAAGGUCUUCGGAUCGUAAAACUCUGUUAUUAGGGAAGAACAAAUGUGUAAGUAACUAUGCACGUCUUGACGGUACCUAAUCAGAAAGCCACGGCUAACUACGUG